rnacentral:rRNA from 1 species
CUCGUAGGCGGUUCAGCAAGUCGGCUGUGGAAUUCCGAGGCUCAACCUCGGAACUGCAGUCGAUACUGCUGUGACUCGAGUCCGGUAGAGGAGAAUGGAAUUCCCGGUGUAGCGGUGAAAUGCGCAGAUAUCGGGAGGAACACCAGUAGCGAAGGCGGUUCUCUGGGCCGGUACUGACGCUGAGGAGCGAAAGCGUGGGGAGCAAACA